rnacentral:rRNA from 1 species
CAAUAACAUGUAGCAUGGGAUAAUGGAAUAGGACCCUGUCCUCCUAUUUUCAGUUGGUUUUGGCAGCGCGAGGACUAGGGUAAUGAUUAAUAGGGAUAGUUGGGGGCAUUAAUAUUUAAUUGUCAGAGGUGAAAUUCUUGGAUUUAUGAAAGAUUAACUUCUGCGAAAGCAUCUGCCAAGGAUGUUUUCAUUAAUCAAGAACGAAAGUUAGGGGAUCGAAGACGAUCAGAUACCGUCCUAGUCUUAACCAUAAACGAUGCCGACCAGCGAAUAGGAGACGUUGAAUACAAAACACCACCAUCGGCGCGGUCGUCCUUGGCGUCUCGCGUUCGCGCGCGGCGCGAGGGCGGCUUACCCCGGUGGCACCGGUGAAUGACUCCCCUAGCAGCUUGUGA